rnacentral:rRNA from 1 species
UUUUUCCUACGGGGCGCAGCAGUGAGGAAUAUUGGUCAAUGGGCGAGAGCCUGAACCAGCCAAGUCGCGUGAGGGAAGACGGUCCUAUGGAUUGUAAACCUCUUUUGCCGGGGAGCAAAAAGCGGUACGUGUACCGCAUCGAGAGUACCCGGAGAAAAAGCAUCGGCUAACUCCGUGCCAGCAGCCGCGGUAAUACGGAGGAUGCGAGCGUUAUCCGGAUUUAUUGGGUUUAAAGGAUGCGCAGGCGGACCAUCAAGUCAGCGGUAAAAUCGUGGGGCCCAACCCCAUCCCGCCGUUGAAAUUGG